rnacentral:lncRNA from 1 species
UUGUGAACAUCUAAAGUGUUGGACAUCUCAAAAAAUCCCCAUGCCUCCUCUUUUCUCCCAUCCUCUUCCUCCUCCAAUUCUCUAUUGUUCUCUUGAAAAGAGAAACAAGAGAAAGAUAUUCAGCAUCCAAGGAGCAAUCUCUAUAAGGAAGGUAGUAUCUCGAUAAGAUCAAAAUUUUUUAAUCAGAUCAGUCUUGUAUGGAUAACUAUAAAGGUCGGAUAUGUGUGCAGCGUCAGAAGAAUCUCG